CCUAUUUGAUCCUCCCAGUACUCAUAUGCUUGUCUCAAAGAUUAAGCCAUGCAUGUCUAAGUAUGAACUAAUUCAGACUGUGAAACUACGAAUGGCUCAUUAAAUCAGUUAUAGUUUUUUUUAUUGUACCAUACUAGGAUAUCCGUAGUAAUUCUAGAGAUAAUACGUAAACCAAGUCCCGACUCUUUGGAAGGGUGCAUUUUUUAGAUAAAAGGCCAGCGCGGGCUUGUCACUUCUUCGAUGAAUCAUGAUAACUCGACGGAUCGCACAGCCCUUGUGCUAGCGAUGCUUCAUUCAAAUUUCUGCCUUAUCAACUUUCGAUGAUAGGAUAGAGGCCUACCAUGGUGGUGAUGGGUGAUGGAGAAUUAGGGUUUGAUUCCGAAGAGGGAGCCUGAGAAACAACUACCACAUCCAAGGAAGGCAGCAGGCACGCAAAUUACCCAAUCCUGACAUGGGGAGCUAGUGACAGUAAAUAACAAUACUGGGCUCAUUGUGUUUGGUAAUUGGAAUGAGUACAAUCUAAAUCCCUUAAUGAGGAUCCAUUGGAGGGCAAGUCUGGUGCCAACGGCUGCGGUAAUUCCAGCUCCAAUAGUGUAUAUUUAAGUUGUUGUAGUUAAAAAGCUUGUAGUUGGAUCUUGUGUCGUAAAGGUCGGUCCGCCUACUUGGUGUGCACCUGCCCUUCCGUCCCUUUUGUCAGUGGCAUGCUCCUGGCCUUAAUUAAUUGGCUGGGUCACGGCUCCAGCGCUAUUACUUUGAAAAAAUUAGAGUGCUCAAAGCAAGCUUAUGCUUUGAAUACAUUAGCAUGGAAUAACGUGAUAGGAAUCUGGUCCUAUUGUGUUGGCCUUCGGGACCAGAGUAAUGAUUAAUAGGGACUGUCGGGGGCAUUCGUAUUUCAUUGUCAGAGGUGAAAUUCUUGGAUUUAUGAAAGACAUACCAAUGCGAAAGAAUUUGCCAAGGAUGUUUUCAUUAAUCAAGAACGAAAGUUGGGGGCUCGAAGACGAUCAGAUACCGUCCUAGUCUCAACCAUAAACGAUGCCGACCAGAGAUCGGCGGAUGUUAAUCUAAGGACUCUGCUAGCACCUUCUUAGAAAUCAGAGUGUUUGGGUUCUGGGGGGAGUAUGGUCACAAGGCUGAAACUUAAAGGAAUUGACAGGAAGGGCACCACCAGGAGUGGAGCCUGCUGCUUAAUUUGACUCAACACGGAGAAACUUACCAGGUCCAUACAUAGUAAGGAUUGACAUAUUGAGAUCUCUUUCUUGAUUCUAUGGGUGGUGGUGCAUGCCCAUUCUUAGUUGGUGGAGCGAUUUGUAUGGUUAAUUCUGAUAAUGAACGAUACCUCAGCCUACUAACUAGCUACGCAGAGGUUCCCCUUUGCGGCUAGCUUCUUAGAGGGACUAUGGCCAUUCAGGAUGGAAGUUUGAGGCAAUAAUAGGUCUGUCAUUCCCUUAGAUGUUCUGGGUUGCACGCGCGCUACACUGAUGCAGCCAAUGAGCUUUUCUUCUUGGUUCGAGAGGAUCGGGAAAUCUUUUCAAAUUGCAUCGUGAUGGGGAUAGACCAUUGAAAUUAUUGGUCUUCAACGAGGAAUUCCUAGUAAGCGUGUGUCAUCAACAUGUGUUGACUACGUCCCUGCCCUUUGUACACACCGCCCGUUGCUCCUACCAAUUGAAUGAUCCUCUGAACUGUUCAGAUUGUGUCGACGAUGGUGGUUUUCCGCCGUUGACGUCGUGAAAGUUCAUUGAACCUUAUCAUUUAGAGGAAGGAGAAGUCGUAACAAGGUUACCAUAGGUGAACCUGCGGUAG
rnacentral:rRNA from 1 species